rnacentral:rRNA from 1 species
UAGUUGGUGAGGUAAUGGCUCACCAAGGCUAUGACGCAUAACUGGUCUGAGAGGAUGAUCAGUCACACUGGAACUGAGACACGGUCCAGACUCCUACGGGAGGCAGCAGUAGGGAAUAUUGCUCAAUGGGGGAAACCCUGAAGCAGCAACGCCGCGUGGAGGAUGACACUUUUCGGAGCGUAAACUCCUUUUGUUAGGGAAGAAUAAUGACGGUACCUAACGAAUAAGCACCGGCUAACUCCGUGCCAGCAGCCGCGGUAAUACGGAGGGUGCAAGCGUUACUCGGAAUCACUGGGCGUAAAGGACGCGUAGGCGGAUUAUCAAGUCUUUUGUGAAAUCUAAUGGCUCAACCAUUAAACUGC